GCCCUCAUGGCUCAACGGAUAGAGCGCUAGUCUUCGGAACUAGACAUCGGGGUUCGAUUCCUCGUGAGGGCA
rnacentral:tRNA from 1 species